GUUUGAUCCUGGCUCAGGACGAACGCUGGCGGCGUGCUUAACACAUGCAAGUCGAACGGUGAUGUCAGAGCUUGCUCUGGCGGAUCAGUGGCGAACGGGUGAGUAACACGUGAGUAACCUGCCCCCGACUCUGGGAUAACUGCUAGAAAUGGUAGCUAAUACCGGAUAUGACGAUUGGCCGCAUGGUCUGGUCGUGGAAAGAAUUUCGGUUGGGGAUGGACUCGCGGCCUAUCAGGUUGUUGGUGAGGUAAUGGCUCACCAAGCCUACGACGGGUAGCCGGCCUGAGAGGGUGACCGGCCACACUGGGACUGAGACACGGCCCAGACUCCUACGGGAGGCAGCAGUGGGGAAUAUUGCACAAUGGGCGAAAGCCUGAUGCAGCAACGCCGCGUGAGGGAUGACGGCCUUCGGGUUGUAAACCUCUUUUAGUAGGGAAGAAGCGAAAGUG
rnacentral:rRNA from 1 species